rnacentral:rRNA from 1 species
AGGAUCAUUACAUGAAGUCGGGAGAACGGAAGAUAGUCCCCCUGUAGCAAAAAUUACGGGGGGUAGUACUCCUGCCCCGUAAUAAUCGGGCCACCCUGUCUCUUGAGCACCGUUUGUUUCCUCGGCGGGCUUGCCCGCCAAUGGGGACCCCCCAAAACCUUUGUAAUGAGCAGUAACUGUCAUUAUCAGAAUAUAUCACAACUUUCAACAAUGGAUCUCUUGGCUCUGGCAUCGAUGAAGAACGCAGCGAAAUGCGAUAAGUAGUGUGAAUUGCAGAAUUCCGUGAAUCAUCGAAUCUUUGAACGCACAUUGCGCCCCUCGGUAUUCCGUGGGGCAUGCCUGUUCGAGCGUCAUUUACACCCUCAAGCUCUGCUUGGUGUUGGGCGUCUGUCCCGCCUCCCCGGCGCGGACUCGCCUUAAAGCGAUUGGCGGCUGGUACCGUGGCCUGGCGUGCAGCAGACUUGCGCUCCUCGCCCGCGGUUCGGCUCCCAGAAGCGAACUCAUAUCACUUUUGACCUCGAAUCAGGUAGGGAUACCCGCUGAACUUAAGCAUAU